UCCUAAGGAAACUAUUGCACCCAUCGUCCAAGACAAGGCAACAAAAGAGAAAAGAAAAAACUAAAAACUAAUCUUAAGGCAUUCUAUCCUCCUACCCGUUGACCCUCACCCAAGAAAAAGAAAUAAAAUUUCAUCUUCUUUUCCAAGAGCUAACCAAUGCACACCUUCCUCUUUUCAUCUUCUCUUUUCUUUUCAUCUUCAAGAAAAUAGGCUCCUUUAUCUCCCUCAAGCUUGUGACUCUAUAGCAAUGGAAGAAGAAAAAUAUUUUCUUCAAAGCUUGGAACCAAAGCUUGAUCUUAUCUUCCAAAGGAUGAAAUAUUGAAGUGCUAUCACUUUGUUCUUCAUCUACACGGGUUUAUCACCAAUUGGUCCUCCACUUGUGUUUUGAAAGAAGCUAAGAGCUCAAGGUAAUGAUGAAAAUGCUGGAGAGCAAGGCAUUACUGCAGAGAGAGAGGC